CAGCAGCCACGGGAAUACGAAGGGGGCUAGCGUUGCUCGGAAUUACUGGGCGUAAAGGGAGCGUAGGCGGACAUUUAAGUCAGGGGUGAAAUCCCAGAGCUCAACUCUGGAACUGCCUUUGAUACUGGGUGUCUUGAGUGUGAUAGAGGUAUGUGGAACUCCGAGUGUAGAGGUGAAAUUCGUAGAUAUUCGGAAGAACACCAGUGGCGAAGGCGACAUACUGGAUCAUUACUGACGCUGAGGCUCGAAAGCGUGGGGAGCAAACAGGAUUAGAUACCCCCGUAGUCCCUGUCUCUUAUAC
rnacentral:rRNA from 1 species